UUCAUCACCUGUCUGCAAGGCGUGUUGUGGCAUGUGCUCCUGAGAUUUUUCGUCGAUUCUCUGGUUAUGUGGAGAUGCAAAGAGUGUUCGGCAACUGUAUGUAAAAGAAUCCUUCUGUUGAAAAACGCAGAGAAUGCAUCCUGAAGGCACUUUGUGUUUACCUCAAUGAAAGUCCUGAUAACCUCAUAAAGGAGUCUCUGGAUGUUGAUCCUGAUGCGCAGCAGGCAAUGAGUGAGCAACUCGACAUGGUGGUCUGUGUCAUCCAACACGAAGGAGCAGAGCCCACAGAUGACCCUGAGGACGUCAGGAUUAUCAUAGAGGAGGUGGAAGUGCUGCAGGGCGUGAAGGACGCGGCAAGUGGUUGCGCACUUCUCCUUGGACUCAUCUACUGCCUAAAUCUGGAAUACCCCAGAAACCUCAGGUACACCUUUGAAUUCAAUCAGAAGGUGCUGAUGGACAUGGAUGGACAGAAGCUGUCACGGAAGGUACAGGUCCUCAAAGGUAAACUAUAUGAGUAAGGCAAAGGAGUUUGCCAUGUGCUUGCACCAGUAGUGCCUAUGACUGCUACCAGUUGGACUGAAGUUUACGAGUUUGUUACCUGUUGUGGUGGCUCAUUGUUACCCAACACCUCGCUGAUACACUUAAUGUUUUUACAAGUGUGUAAUUUCGCUGAUACACUUAAUGUUUUUACAAGUGUGUAACCUGUUCUGGUGGCUCAUUGUUGCCCAACACCUCACUGGUGUUUAUAUUAUGUGUUUAAUGAUUGUGUUACCUGUUCUGGUGGCUCAUUGUUGCCCAACACUUCGCUGAUACACUUGAUAUUUUUACAAGUAUGGUACAUGUUCUGGUGGCUCAUUGUUGCCCAACACCUCACUGAUACACUUUAUUUUUAUAAGUUUGUAACACACAGACAUACACGCAGAUAUACAGACGUGCAGACAUACGUGCAGACAUACACGCAGACGUGCAGACAUACACGCAGACGUGCAGACACACUGUAUCUGCCUGCCUACACACAGGCAGACAUACACAGAAAGACAGACACACUCAAAGCACUCGGGACCUUUGUUUGGCACAUGCCACUUUCUUUUGCAUGUUUUUUGAAUUUGAUUUAAAUAAAUAAAACAUGAGUAACGUAAAUUGA